UCUCCAGGUGGAGCUGCAGCGUGAGAAACCGUCAAAUCAGAGCAGUCGAGGACGACCCAUCAGAGACCAGACCCUGCUGGACCUGGACCUGACCCAGCUGUGUGUCCAUGCAGCCCCGUUCCUU